AGAGUUUGAUCCUGGCUCAGGACGAACGCUGGCGGCGUGCUUAACACAUGCAAGUCGAACGGUGACGAAUGGUGCUUGCACUGUUCUGAUCAGUGGCGAACGGGUGAGCAACACGUGAGUAACCUGCCCCAGACUCUGGAAUAACCCCGGGAAACCGGAGCUAAUACCGGAUAUGAAGUAGAGCUGCAUGGCUACUACUUGGAAAGUUUUUCGGUCUGGGAUGGACUCGCGGCCUAUCAGCUUGUUGGUGAGGUAAUGGCUCACCAAGGCGACGACGGGUAGCCGGCCUGAGAGGGCGACCGGCCACACUGGGACUGAGACACGGCCCAGACUCCUACGGGAGGCAGCAGUGGGGAAUAUUGCACAAUGGGCGAAAGCCUGAUGCAGCGACGCCGCGUGAGGGAUGAAGGCCUUCGGGUUGUAAACCUCUUUCAGCAGGGAAGAAGCGAAAGUGACGGUACCUGCAGAAGAAGCACCGGCUAACUACGUGCCAGCAGCCGCGGUAAUACGUAGGGUGCGAGCGUUGUCCGGAAUUAUUGGGCGUAAAGAGCUUGUAGGCGGUUUGUCGCGUCUGCCGUGAAAAUCCGAGGCUCAACCUCGGACUUGCGGUGGGUACGGGCAGACUAGAGUGUGGUAGGGGAGACUGGAAUUCCUGGUGUAGCGGUGAAAUGCGCAGAUAUCAGGAGGAACACCGAUGGCGAAGGCAGGUCUCUGGGCCGCUACUGACGCUGAGAAGCGAAAGCGUGGGGAGCGAACAGGAUUAGAUACCCUGGUAGUCCACGCCGUAACCGUUGGGAACUAGGUGUGGGUCUCAUUCCACGAGAUCUGUGCCGCAGCUAACGCAUUAAGUUCCCCGCCUGGGGAGUACGGCCGCAAGGCUAAAACUCAAAGAAUUGACGGGGGCCCGCACAAGCGGCGGAGCAUGUGGAUUAAUUCGAUCCACGCGAAGAACCUUACCAAGGCUUGACAUAUACCGGAAACAUCCAGAGAUGGGUGCCCCGCAAGGUCGGUAUACAGGUGGUGCAUGGUUGUCGUCAGCUCGUGUCGUGAGAUGUUGGGUUAAGUCCCGCAACGAGCGCAACCCUCGUUCUAUGUUGCCAGCAACAUCUUCGGAUGGUUGGGGACUCAUAGGAGACUGCCGGGGUCAACUCGGAGGAAGGUGGGGAUGACGUCAAAUCAUCAUGCCCCUUAUGUCUUGGGCUUCACACAUGCUACAAUGGCCGGUACAAAGGGCUGCGAAACCGCGAGGUGGAGCGAAUCCCAAAAAACCGGUCUCAGUUCGGAUUGGGGUCUGCAACUCGACCCCAUGAAGUCGGAGUCGCUAGUAAUCGCAGAUCAGCAACGCUGCGGUGAAUACGUUCCCGGGCCUUGUACACACCGCCCGUCAAGUCACGAAAGUCGGUAACACCCGAAGCCGGUGGCCCAACCCCUUGUGGGAGGGAGCCGUCGAAGGUGGGACUGGCGAUUGGGACUAAGUCGGAACAAGGUA
rnacentral:rRNA from 1 species